AGUGGCGGACGGGUGAGUAACGCGUGAGAAUCUGCCUUGGGGUCGGGGACAACCACUGGAAACGGUGGCUAAUACCGGAUAAGCCGAUUGGUGAAAGAUUUAUUGCCCGAAGAGGAGCUCGCGUCUGAUUAGCUAGUUGGUGAGGUAAUAGCUCACCAAGGCAGCGAUCAGUAGCUGGUCUGAGAGGACGAUCAGCCACACUGGGACUGAGACACGGCCCAGACUCCUACGGGAGGCAGCAGUGGGGAAUUUUCCGCAAUGGGCGAAAGCCUGACGGAGCAAGACCGCGUGAGGGAGGAAGGCUCUUGGGUUGUAAACCUCUUUUCUCAGGGAAGAAGCUCUGACGGUACCUGAGGAACCAGCCUCGGCUAACUCCGUGCCAGCAGCCGCGGUAAUACGGAGGAGGCAAGCGUUAUCCGGAAUUAUUGGGCGUAAAGCGUCCGCAGGUGGCGAUUCAAGUCUGCUGUCAAAGCACGGGGCUUAACUCCGUAAAGGCAGUGGAAACUGAAUAGCUAGAGUGCCGUAGGGGUAGAGGGAAUUCCCGGUGUAGCGGUGAAAUGCGUAGAGAUCGGGAAGAACAUCGGUGGCGAAAGCGCUCUACUGGACGGCAACUGACACUCAGGGACGAAAGCUAGGGGAGCGAAUGGGAUUAGAUACCCC
rnacentral:rRNA from 1 species